rnacentral:tRNA from 1 species
UAAAGAUUACGGGGUGCCUUUUAGUUGCUACCUAUGGGGUCUUGGGUUCAAUUCCCAAGAAUCUUUGG